CCUACGGGCGGCUGCAGUGAGGAAUAUUGGUCAAUGGGCGCAAGCCUGAACCAGCCAUCCCGCGUGAAGGAUGACGGCCCUAUGGGUUGUAAACUUCUUUUCUGUACCAAGAAACAAUCCCUCGUGAGGGGUCUUGACGGUAGUACAGGAAUAAGCACCGGCUAACUCCGUGCCAGCAGCCGCGGUAAUACGGAGGGUGCAAGCGUUAUCCGGAUUUAUUGGGUUUAAAGGGUGCGUAGGCGGAUUGAUAAGUCAGUGGUGAAAUCCUGCAGCUUAACUGUAGAACUGCCAUUGAUACUGUUAAUCUUGAGUAUAGUUGAGGUAGGCGGAAUGAGUAGUGUAGCGGUGAAAUGCUUAGAUAUUACUCAGAACACCGAUUGCGAAGGCAGCUUGCCAAGCUAUCACUGACGCUGAUGCACGAAAGCGUGGGGAUCGAACAGGCUUAGAUACCCUUGUAGUC
rnacentral:rRNA from 1 species